rnacentral:rRNA from 1 species
UGUCCGAAUGGGGAAACCCAGUGCAAUUCGUUGCACUAUCGUUAACUGAAUACAUAGGUUAACGAGGCGAACCGGGGGAACUGAAACAUCUAAGUACCCCGAGGAAAAGAAAUCAACCGAGAUUCCCCCAGUAGCGGCGAGCGAACGGGGAGCAGCCCAGAGUCUGAAUCAGCUUGUGUGUUAGUGGAACGGUCUGGAAAGUCCGACGGUACAGGGUGAUAGUCCCGUACACCAAAAUGCACAGGUUGUGAACUCGAAGAGUAGGGCGGGACACGUGGUAUCCUGUCUGAAUAUGGGGGGACCAUCCUCCAAGGCUAAAUACUCCUGACUGACCGAUAGUGAACCAGUACCGUGAGGGAAAGGCGAAAAGAACCCCGGCGAGGGGAGUGAAAAAGAACCUGAAACCGUGUACGUACAAGCAGUGGGAGCACCUUCGGGUGUGACUGCGUACCUUUUGUAUAAUGGGUCAGCGACUUAUAUUCUGUAGCAAGGUUAACCGUAUAGGGGAGCCGCAGGGAAACCGAGUCUUAACUGGGCGUUAAGUUGCAGGGUAUAGACCCGAAACCCGGUGAUCUAGCCAUGGGCAGGUUGAAGGUUGGGUAACACUAACUGGAGGACCGAACCGACUAAUGUUGAAAAAUUAGCGGAUGACUUGUGGCUGGGGGUGAAAGGCCAAUCAAACCGGGAGAUAGCUGGUUCUCCCCGAAAGCUAUUUAGGUAGCGCCUCGUGAACUCAUCUUCGGGGGUAGAGCACUGUUUCGGCUAGGGGGUCAUCCCGACUUACCAACCCGAUGCAAACUACGAAUACCGAAGAAUGUUAUCACGGGAGACACACGGCGGGUGCUAACGUCCGUCGUGAAGAGGGAAACAACCCAGACCGCCAGCUAAGGUCCCAAAGUCAUGGUUAAGUGGGAAACGAUGUGGGAAGGCACAGACAGCCAGGAUGUUGGCUUAGAAGCAGCCAUCAUUUAAAGAAAGCGUAAUAGCUCACUGGUCGAGUCGGCCUGCGCGGAAGAUGUAACGGGGCUAAACCAUGCACCGAAGCUGCGGCAGCGACACUAUGUGUUGUUGGGUAGGGGAGCGUUCUGUAAGCCUGCGAAGGUGUGCUGUGAGGCAUGCUGGAGGUAUCAGAAGUGCGAAUGCUGACAUAAGUAACGAUAAAGCGGGUGAAAAGCCCGCUCGCCGGAAGACCAAGGGUUCCUGUCCAACGUUAAUCGGGGCAGGGUGAGUCGACCCCUAAGGCGAGGCCGAAAGGCGUAGUCGAUGGGAAACAGGUUAAUAUUCCUGUACUUGGUGUUACUGCGAAGGGGGGACGGAGAAGGCUAUGUUAGCCGGGCGACGGUUGUCCCGGUUUAAGCAUGUAGGCUGGUUGUCCAGGCAAAUCCGGAUAAUCAAGGCUGAGGUGUGAUGACGAGGCACUACGGUGCUGAAGUAACAAAUGCCCUGCUUCCAGGAAAAGCCUCUAAGCAUCAGGUAACAUCAAAUCGUACCCCAAACCGACACAGGUGGUCAGGUAGAGAAUACCAAGGCGCUUGAGAGAACUCGGGUGAAGGAACUAGGCAAAAUGGUGCCGUAACUUCGGGAGAAGGCACGCUGGUGUGUAGGUGAAGUCCCUGCGGAUGGAGCUGAGACCAGUCGAAGAUACCAGCUGGCUGCAACUGUUUAUUAAAAACACAGCACUGUGCAAACACGAAAGUGGACGUAUACGGUGUGACGCCUGCCCGGUGCCGGAAGGUUAAUUGAUGGGGUUAUCCGUAAGGAGAAGCUCUUGAUCGAAGCCCCGGUAAACGGCGGCCGUAACUAUAACGGUCCUAAGGUAGCGAAAUUCCUUGUCGGGUAAGUUCCGACCUGCACGAAUGGCGUAAUGAUGGCCAGGCUGUCUCCACCCGAGACUCAGUGAAAUUGAACUCGCUGUGAAGAUGCAGUGUACCCGCGGCAAGACGGAAAGACCCCGUGAACCUUUACUAUAGCUUGACACUGAACAUUGAGCCUUGAUGUGUAGGAUAGGUGGGAGGCUUUGAAGCGUGGACGCCAGUCUGCGUGGAGCCAACCUUGAAAUACCACCCUUUAAUGUUUGAUGUUCUAACGUUGGCCCCUGACCGGGGUUGCGGACAGUGUCUGGUGGGUAGUUUGACUGGGGCGGUCUCCUCCCAAAGCGUAACGGAGGAGCACGAAGGUUAGCUAAUCCUGGUCGGACAUCAGGAGGUUAGUGCAAUGGCAUAAGCUAGCUUGACUGCGAGCGUGACGGCGCGAGCAGGUGCGAAAGCAGGUCAUAGUGAUCCGGUGGUUCUGAAUGGAAGGGCCAUCGCUCAACGGAUAAAAGGUACUCCGGGGAUAACAGGCUGAUACCGCCCAAGAGUUCAUAUCGACGGCGGUGUUUGGCACCUCGAUGUCGGCUCAUCACAUCCUGGGGCUGAAGUAGGUCCCAAGGGUAUGGCUGUUCGCCAUUUAAAGUGGUACGCGAGCUGGGUUUAGAACGUCGUGAGACAGUUCGGUCCCUAUCUGCCGUGGGCGCUGGAGAAUUGAGGGGGGCUGCUCCUAGUACGAGAGGACCGGAGUGGACGCAUCACUGGUGUUCGGGUUGUCAUGCCAAUGGCACUGCCCGGUAGCUAAAUGCGGAAGAGAUAAGUGCUGAAAGCAUCUAAGCACGAAACUUGCCCCGAGAUGAGUUCUCCCUGAGACUAUAAGUCUCCUGAAGGAACGUUGAAGACGACGACGUUGAUAGGCCGGGUGUGUAAGCGCAGCGAUGCGUUGAGCUAACCGGUACUAAUGAACCGUGAGGCUUAACCUU